GUUUUCUUGUUAAGCUGAUUUGCCAUCCUGACAAAUAUUAUCAGCAUCCAAACUUGAUGCUAGAUUUAUGCUUUUUUUUUUUCUUUUUUUUUGGUACCAGGAUUGAACUCAGGCCCUUGAACUUGUGAAGCAGACAGCAGAACCACUCAGCCAAAUCCCCAGCCCGAUUUAUGCAUUUUUAUUUGAGGUAUGAAAGAGUGGAAUUUCUUCUUAAUUCCCAUUACACGCUGAAGACAUGGAGAGGUGUGGGUAUUCCCCACCUACAUAUCUAUAUCACAACAGAGAAUAUGAAGACUACAGGUGCCAGUUCAUCGGGUUAAACUGUUUCAAGGAGGAUAUCCUUGAACGGAAGAAAGAU
rnacentral:lncRNA from 1 species